GCUUACGGCCACACCACCCUGAGCGCGCCCGAUCUCGUCUGAUCUCGGAAGCUAAGCAGCAGGGUCGGGCCUGGUUAGUACUUGGAUGGGAGACCGCCUGGGAAUACCAGGUGCCGUAAGCU
rnacentral:rRNA from 1 species